rnacentral:rRNA from 1 species
GACGUAGGGCGCGAGCGUUGUCCGGAUUUAUUGGGCGUAAGAGCUCGUAGGCGGCCUGUCGCGUCGGAUGUGAAAGCCCGGGGCUCAACCCCGGGAGGCGGAUGGAUACUGUUUGGCUCGAGUCCGGAAGAGGCGAGUGGAAUUCCCGGUGUAGCGGUGAAAUGCGCAGAUAUCGGGAGGAACACCAAUGGCGAAGGCAGCUCGCUGGACGGUACUGACGCUGAGGAGCGAAAGCGUGGGGAGCGAACGAGG